GGGCUCUUUGUCUUACUGUAUUCUCACAGCACUCACUUGCUGUGAAGCUCAACAAAUAAAGUCACUUCAGCUUCCUAUUUAACACAGGAAAGUUGUUUUAAAAGAUGCGGACGUUGCCACUUCCUGUGAGCGGUAAAAGGCGACUCCAGCGACGUCCUCGCCGUGACUCGAGGAUGCAGCAACACAAGCUCACAUCCUGCCUCCUUCACCACAGGGAGCUGAAUCCUCUUGAAGGAGGAGCAGAUGUCCCUCAGCAUGGAAAGAAAGACUGCCAACUUCAGAGGAAGACACGUGUAAAGGAGCAGGGAAAACCCCAGCCCCGAGAGCUGGGGAGCUGUUCUCCAUUAGGAAAAAAGGCUUCUGCACAUUUGGUGGAAACCACUGCUGGCAGCAACUGGAGGUUGCAUUUAAUGGCUGGAGAGAAGGAAGGAGUUAAACCAUUGAUGUGACAUCUGCUGAACAGCUGAUUUUCCCUCAACUGGUCCUUGCUUCAAGUCCUACUGCCCUUACACAGAACCAUAUCUUCAGAAAAUUGACAACUUUGACUCAAAAGUCUUCCACACACAAUUAAAAAAAAAAAAGUCCUUUGAAUCCAGGUUUUAGAAGAGCUACUGCUGGUUUCCCAUUGUUUGCCUGGAAAUCUUGGCUGGCCUGCAAUCUCCUGCCUGGUGCAAAACACCUUCUGGGGCUGGAAGAAAGUCACUCUCAUGGCAGUGUACAGACUGCCUCAGCUGCAGCCUCAGAAAUCAAAAGUCAUCUGCUGAUUUUUAAAUGCCAGCCUUUAGAAUCAGCUGUUUAAUCUCUGUUUACUGUGGGGAUGGAAGAAUAGGUCAUACAAUGACUGUGUCAUCUGGCUUUGCAGCAAAUAUAGAAUAUAUUCAGUAUUUCUUGAGCUUCCCUGUAACACUAUUGGAGUGUUAAAGAGUGUUAAACCCUGAACUCCUGACAGGCUGGAACCAUUUAAUAUGAUUUUUUUAUUUCUCAAGUCCUUUAGAGCACCUUUAACUCUGCUGACCACAAUUCUCUUCAGGAUUUUCCUCCACUCCAGGUGCUAUUCCUUCAUUUGAUAUAUAUUUAUCUAAAUAUCUGUAUAUAAUUUGUGUUAGCCAGCCCAGGCAUGUGGGUACUGUGACUUUUUGCUGCCUCUCCAACAGCUCUAAACCUUCCAUCAACAUUUCUGUUUUCUAGGCAUUUGUGUUGCCUCAAAGUAUAGAAAAUUUAGAAUGUUUAAGUCUUCUCCUUCACAACCACUAGAGAUUAGGUCCUGCCACCAGCCUUGUAUUUGAAAAGAAAGGGCUUUGACUUGGUCACUUCACCUCCCUGACCCAAAUGUCAAAAUUUUCCUCAGUGCUCCCACUGAGGAAAAUCCCAGGAUUGAUCCCUUAGUCUUAAUUCUACAGGCAUUUCUUCAUUUGGUCAAUGAAGACCGGGAACAUUUUGGUGCAUUCUAGUGAAAUCCACUUUGCUUUUGUGCCAUAAACUUUCCCAGAUCUGUGGGGGACAGUGAAAAUGCUCUCUCUCUGCAAAAACAGUGAUAGCUGGAAGAAACCACAGGCAUUCCCAAGUGGCAAUACAGAAACACACACAUGAGGAGGGAAAUACAAGUGCAGCUGAGCUGUCCAGCCCCACAGAACCAGGGGUUUAACACAGCUGUGCAGACAGAUACAUCCUAAAUUUUCUUCCCCCGCACACAAGCAGGAGGAGAAAAGCCUUUUGUUCCAAACAGACAUCACCAGAUUGAGAUUGUAAAAGCAGCACUCAGUGACUCAAACCACAGCAGUGUCCUCCUGCCAUGCCCAGGAUCUGUCCCCAAGCCCAAGGCUGUGCUGUGACCAACAUCAGCUCACCUCUGGUGCCUCCCUGUCCCCAGGUGAGGCACAGGUGCCCGAGCAUCCUGCAGAACCACUCACAGAUGGCCCAAACCCUCACGCUGCUCCUGCAGCUCCCAGAAAGCAAGCAGCCAUGUGAAAACCAGCCUUCUUCUCCACAUGCAAAAAGCAAUUAUGUUAAAGACACAGGGAGAGCCCUGCGAGGUGCAGAUCAGAAGCCAGAGACACGGGAGGCAGCAGAAAAGCCCGAUCAAAUUCACCACACUCUCCCCAGCUUAAGGAUCAGAAAUGGAGCGUUCUGCCUCAUAAAUUCUACUUCCAGCAAAUUCAAGCCUAAAUCCCCUGAAGGCAAUAAGGAAAAGGCAAUCAACAACAACUCUAACCACUUCCCAGAUGCUCCUGUUUAGUUUAUACAGCACUUCUUACAGCAUUGAAAUGGGUAAAAUGGGAUUUCAACGCAGGGGGGCUGACGGCAGCAGGCAGGAUUCCUCAGUGAAGAUACCAAGGGCAAAGGAAGUUCUGAGAAGCAUCAUAUUGGUUAUGAUGAGUGAACUCAGCGUGCUCAGCCUUUGCUCAUUUUAAUCUGCCAGUACGCAGGCUUGGCUAAAGUGAACAUCCUGCAUCUACAGUGCCUUAAAAAUCCACAGGAACCACAAAAUGAGGGGGGAAAACGAACAAAGUGAUGCGUUCCCUGGGAAGCCAUGAAAAAACUAAUCACUGUUUGUUUCCAACUGUUGUUCCGCUUCCUGAGCCAAAUGUUUCCAAGUCAGCUGUGGUGGCUGAGGAGUGACCGGUUCGAGCUGGAAAGUUGUCAAUUGAAAAUUGCAGCUCCAACACUUUCAAACUCCUUAGCAUCUUUUAUAAUUCCAGGACCACCUGUUCAAAAAAAAAAAAGCAGAGCCCCCUGAUGACACGACACAUGGCCUUAUCCCACAUUUUCCAAUGAAAGCAGGGAGGCAACACCCUGUUCUUCUGCUCUCAGCCCAAAAAGAUGGGAGUUGUGCUGGAGAAGAGACACACAAAGGGCAGGGGCUCCCUCCCUCAAAGCAGCAAGGUCAUCACUCCCAUCUUCAGGGAGUGUGGAGCUUCCAGACUCCUUGCCCCACUCUGCAGGACCCCCCCUGGAUUUACAGUGGGAGAUGAUCUCCAUCCCCAGUGCUGCAGGAGAUGACAAAGGAGAAAGAACCAUUUGACUCCAGGAUAAUGGAACACUAUCCCAAGUCUUCUCUACCUUGUAGAUGCAGUUACCAGCUCAGAUUUGAACAGCAUGGGGCAUUCAAGACAAAAAAAUCACUGGGUUUUUUUCUUGGGGUUUUUUUUUUUUUUCGCUGCGUGAAAGAGUCAACAGUGCAGAGAUUCUGUUUGACAGAGCAUCCCACUGUGAGACACACAACGUGUGCACUGUGCAAACCACUCUCCUGCAGAGCUCAGAAAACAAGGGAGGCUUGGAAAAAAUACCCACAAUGACUGCAGCCCUCGAGACCUCCUGGUGCUUUACUGUGCUUGGGGUUCUUCCUCUGCAGGCACCACGUCCACAGAGCCAUGGUGAGAAUGUCUCCACACAAAUGCUGCUGAGCUCUGGACAACACAGGGCUCUUUCUCAUCAAAGAAAGGCACCAGCUCUACCCAAGCAUUUAAGCACAGCCCUGCCUUAAAACCUGAAUUCUCAGGACAAGUGAGAUUCCAGAGGAAGCUUCAGAGCAGAAACUUUUUUCAUUAUUUCUAACAUCAUAGCAAAAGAUCCCAAACAUCUUCUAAAAAGCAGCAUUUCCCUCCUUCCUCUGAGCUUACAGAGCUCAUCACCCAGGGAAAUGAAUUGUACUGAAGGAGAAAACAAUAAUCUCCUUAUGUUUUGGGUGUUCGUUUCCCUUUCCAAGAUUUUCACCCCUCACUCAUCUCAGAGACAGUUUUUGCUUCGCUUUGCUUGCUUAAAACAUUCAUUUUAAGUGAUCUAGGCCAGGAAAGGAUUAGAGGAGCCCUGGCAGAAGUUGCAGAAGGCAAGGCUGUUAGGUCAGAGAAAUGAGACUUUCAGAGGCAUAGCCAACAAUCCACCACAAAACCACCACUCACGCUUUGGAAAGAAUUCCUCUCUCUAUAAAUUUUAAGCAGGUGCAUAUGAAGAAAAAUGAAUCAUGCACAACAAUGCAAAACAGCACCUCCUCAUAACAAAGGAAUGACGCCUACCUGCCCACUCCUGCACCAGGUGCAAUCAGCACUGUCCAGGUGAGAUUGUGACCCACAGUGGCAUUACCUGACUUACCCUAGGUGCUGCUUCCCAAAAUGAGAUCUCAGUCCUGUGCUCUGGCCAUGUUUCACCUCUAAAGGCAGCAGCAGAAGCACUGCUGCUGCUGGAACUAAUUAAAGGCAAAUUGGUAGAACUAGGGGCCAUGACGUGAGGAAAUAUCCUGCACAGCAUCCAAGAAAGGCACCAGAUAAUCCAAAAGGCUGCUUAAGAGCCUGGCUGUCAGAAAUCUUGGAAUCUGCCAGGUCCAAAGCAAGCAGCUGCUUGCUCCCUCAUCCCCUUCAUUCCUUCACCUUAAUCAGCUGCAGCAUUUCAGACCCAGUGCCUCAGCCCAAACAGCACCUCUGGAACAACCCCUGCUUCCACACAAGGAUCAAAACCUACAGGUCCUGAAGGAUUUAUUAAAUCUACCAGGUGGCUGAAAUGCCUCUUUUCCUCCAAAGGCAGCAAAGCCAGGAUGCCCCCACAAGCAGCACAGGUCCCAAAGAGUUUGUGUGGUUGCAGCAUUUCCCAAAGCUCAGGUGUUUAUUCUCUGCUUCCUCAGCCCUUCAGGAAUUGUUUUACACCUGGACCUCACCCGUGGCAUGGUGGUGGAAUAGGAUGAGUUUUGAGUCCCCUCCAACCCAAACCAUUCCAGGAUUCUCUGAGAUGAUGCCAUGACCAGAUGGGCUGAAGCUGUGGACUACAUGGACAGGCUUAACCCUCUCUCUGCCAACACAAACAUGUUCAGGAACCAGAUCCAACACACAAGAGAUUUCUGUCACUUCAGGUUGCAUUGACUACCAAACACAUCAAAAUCCAGGUAUUUCACAUGCCUCAAAAAGAACAUUAACUGCCCAAAAUCUCAAGUGUCUAGCUGGGGCUUGGUAAAGGAUUUUUUUGGGGUUUUUUUUAAGACAAGUUUGGUGUCUACAACAUCCUUUAAUGCUGUAAUUAGACUCUGUGUUCAGAACCACCACCUGAGUGUCCAGCAGCCAGUUACAAAAGGAACAGCUUUGCUGAAAGCCCCUUCCCAUCAGGGAACUGUCCCAAGGCAAGGGCAGAGGGUCCCUUCCAGCACACCCCACACACUGUUCUACCAGCAGGCCCUGGGCUUCCCUCACCCACCACUCCUGGGGCAGCCCCUCCAGCCUCACCAACUGAGAAAUCUCAUUUUCUUCACACACCCUGGCCCACCUGCUUGUCCCCAGCAGUGCCAGGCAUGUAUUCACCUUCCCCAACAAUUCAUCUUCCCAAAAGGCCAGGCUGGCUCUGGUUUUCCUGACAAUUCACUUCUCAGGCAGCAGAAAGUGAGACUGCACCUCACUCAAAGUAGUUAUAAGUUCCCAUUUUCCAACAAUCCUUCUCGAAAACAUCACUCUUGGCUGUUGCAGUUGCUCCCCCACCUCCCUAAUAAUUAGUUUUUACCUCAACAGCAGAUGCAGUUGCUUUCUUGUAAAAACCCAGAGUUGAAAGAUGACUUCUUUCCCCCUGCCAUCACCCAUUGUGUGAGAAAACAGACAAUAUCCCAUUGUUCAUGUACAACACUCUGAGCUGUACUUUCUGCUCUGAACACACUGCAACUCUACUUGAGGCUGCAGCAAUUUCCAUGCAGGAGGCAAAGGAGAAUCUUGUAUCUGAUCUAAUACAGGAUAAAUCAAUGUGCACUCAUUUAUUGUUUAUAGCUCCCAUCAGCUCAAGGAGAGACACUGUCCUAGAGUUUCAAGGCUAUCCAGGCUGCCUUUGUAGAUGGAAACAGACACUGCACUCAGGAGGUGUUUUGAGAGCUCUGUUCAAACAUUUCCCAGGAGUUCAGGAGGGAUGGGAAAUCACUAAACCCUGGCAGGUUCUCAUCACUCCCAGGACAGGAUUUUGGGAAAGGCCAAGCCAGGUUCUUGCCCUUCUUGCCUUCUAUAGAAAUUCAGUUUCCUAUUAGUCACUGCCCUCAGGCAGGGGCUGGGGAGCUUAACUGGAGUUUGUAUGGAGAUGCUCAGAUAAGAUGUGCUAGGGAAGGGCAGCUCACACUCAUUACUGUGCAUCCAGGUGAUGCAAGAGCUUCCCCCUGUCUCCUUCAGCUGCUGGAGCUGCAAAGAAAAAUUACCCACAGUCAGAAAACCAUCAGCACCACAGGGAGCACAUUUUUCUGGAUGUGGUCUGAAUUCCUGUCAACUUUGGAGGAUUCUGACCCUUUGUGGUGGCUACAGAUGGGAGCUCCCUGGAAGCCCUGAAUCCCAGCACAAGCCAAGCAAGGCAGAGUUUAAUAUUCCUCCCCAUGCAAGUAUUUUCUCUCAUUAAAUGCUUAAGAGCUGGAGGAUUUGGGAUAUUAAUUUUUGCAGCUGGACAUUUUCUUUAAGAAUGCAAUUUUCCACACAAUUUUCUUCCUUUAGCUCUCUUUUAUUCUAACCCCAAGACACCCACUUACCCAGGAGAGGACUCUCCUGCAAGGUUUGGAAAGGAAUUCACUGCUGCACUUCAGUCCUUUCUUUUCACAUCUGCUACAGGCUUGCUUUCAGAAAACCCUGUUUCUGCUUAUUUCAACCCAGAAACUUGUCUCCAGUUCCAGGCCAUCAACACCAAGAAUCCACAACUACAGAUUCAUUUAUCCAAAGACUUGACUGGAACAAAGCCAGACCAUGGACAAAGUUUUUGGUUUUUUUUUUUUUUAAUUUAAAAGCACAAGAAGCUGCUUAAAAAGCACAAGAGCUCCUACACUGAACCCCAGAGGCACAGAGCACUCCGUGACAUGGCUGUGACAGGCUGGAGAAUGGACUACAACUCAGAGCACUUUGUGCACACAGGAACACAAAGCAAGGGUGAGAUUUAAUUAUCAGCAACCUCAAACAAACAUGUGAUUGAACAAGGGGCAGCUACAGCCACUUUGUCUUUCCCCAAGUGUCACCUGGAAGGGGAUGGGGGGUCCUUCACUGCAAACAGUCCCAGCCUGUUCUGGGGACACAGCUCAGGGCAAGUUUUGUGCUUAAUCUGCCCUUGAAUCCCUUGGAGUUGAUGAUGGCCAGGCACAGUAAUGAGGGAGCUGCUCCUCCAAAUUCUGGCUGAAUAUUCAAUGAUGAGAGUUUAGGCAAAGCCAGAAGGAAAGAGCCUCCUGACCUUCCCUGUCCCCAUGUCCCCACCUUCACCCUGGCAGGCUCUCUCUCCCCUGACAAGCACUUCUCACACUUUUUCCCUGGCAAAGAAAAGCUUCUGACUGAAAAGGUGACAUCCCACAGUUCUGCUAAUGCCAUUUCAGCCCUCAGCAGCCCAGGAGAGGCAGAGCAGAGGGGACACAUUUGAUUCCUCACAGCCUCCACGAGACACAACUUUGCUGCAUUUCACAGCAGAUUUUCUGUGCAGGCAAAGAGCAAAAGCUGGGCUACACGUGCUGGUUUUCAAACAAGUUGACUUUUGCCAGUGCUGCUGCCAGUGUGCUCCCUCCCUGAUUUAAGCUUCCCGCUUCCCAGAGAUAAAGGUGCCUUUCAAGUUGUUGAUGCCAGCCUUCCCCUCCUAAUCCUUCAUCCCACCCUGACUUCAGAAGGCUCUGUAUCAUUCCCCAUUGCUUCCUGAGCAUAAGCUUUAUAUUUCUGCAGCAAAUCCAACUUUAACAGUGAUUAAAACACACAAAUAAGAGACAUUUCAUUUGAAGGAUGCCAGGAAAUGAGUUCUCAAAAACCACACAGCGAUCCUGUAAGAAGCACGAAAUUGGUCCCUAAAGAACUUCCCUGUAUUUCAGUGUGGAGAACUUUAUUUAUUAAUACAUUCAUUCUCAUGCCUGUGCUUUAA